AACGAAUUACAUUUUAUAACCAUAACAGCUGGGAUAUGCGUAAUCUGACAUUUAUCAGUCCGGUUAUCUGUGCACGUUAUACCAACACGUCAUUUCCUCCUGACAGGUUGUUGUUCGUUUCAUUACUUUUUUUCGUCAGUCCGUGUCUAAUGGAACAUUGUUAUCUCUUUUGCUGGUCACACGACGGCGCGUAGCAGCAAUUAUAGUUGUCUUCUAGAAAUUGCUCGAUCAUGAUACACGAGGUAUUGUUGAGUACGGAAGUGAAGCUACAGCGCUUCGAAAGUGAAAAUUAUCUUUAUAAUAAUAAUUUUUAUGUCCAUUCAGAGGUCUUUUUUUUUCUUUCAAUUUUACCCUUUUGUUUUUGUUGUGUAAUUACUCUGUUGGAACGACGAUGAAAAUUUGUCUGAUGAUUCGUGACAAUGUCGUUCUUAUUCCUGACGGUGAAACCAUCACACGAAAAAUUUCCCUUCGGUUCUAUAAAAAAAAAGAAAAAAAUUAUAAUAAUCAAAACGAUCAACAACUGCCAACAAAUGGCAAAGCAUUUUGAAUUCAAGGAUUUAGUAGUUCAAUGAAUUUGCGUUAAAAAAUUACAUGCCAUCAACAUCAAGGAGAGAGUUGAAAACAAAAAUGCUCGUAAAGGACUAAGUUAAUGCUGGCGGAGCAAAACUCAAACUUGUUUCAACCUUCACUUUGUGUUUUUUGGCUACACACUCGAAAAAAACCGGAUUUGAUUGCCAAAAGCUUAAGAAUAUGUGGCCAAAGUGCAUUUUUUUUUUUUUUGUGGGCUAAAUGAAAGCUAUUUUCAAACGCCUUACGAGCCUUACUGGUUUAGGCCAUCAAGGUUUACGGCAAGAGUUCCGGACUAUUUUUUUUUUCAGACGAUAACAAAAUUUUUUUUUUUUUAUAUAUCUUAAAAAACAGGAAAUGCAAUCUCUUGCAAUUCACGAAUUGAAAAACUGGAAAUGAAAGAAAAUAAACUAUUAGGACUAUCCAGA